rnacentral:rRNA from 1 species
AUUGAACGCUGGCGGCAGGCCUAACACAUGCAAGUCGAACGGUAACAGGAAGCAGCUUGCUGCUUUGCUGACGAGUGGCGGACGGGUGAGUAAUGUCUGGGAAACUGCCUGAUGGAGGGGGAUAACUACUGGAAACGGUAGCUAAUACCGCAUAACGUCGCAAGACCAAAGAGGGGGACCUUCGGGCCUCUUGCCAUCGGAUGUGCCCAGAUGGGAUUAGCUAGUAGGUGGGGUAACGGCUCACCUAGGCGACGAUCCCUGGCUGGUCUGAGAGGAUGACCAGCCACACUGGAACUGAGACACGGUCCAGACUCCUACGGGAGGCAGCAGUGGGGAAUAUUGCACAAUGGGCGCAAGCCUGAUGCAGCCAUGCCGCGUGUAUGAAGAAGGCCUUCGGGUUGUAAAGUACUUUCAGCGGGGAGGAAGGGAGUAAAGUUAAUACCUUUGCUCAUUGACGUUACCCGCAGAAGAAGCACCGGCUAACUCCGUG